rnacentral:ncRNA from 1 species
AAACCAUUACACGGGAGCUUUCAGAAUCUGUGGGCCCGUGGGGCGCACAGGCCGCAUCGGCACAGAAAUGAAGGCUGAGAUACUGCGAUAUGACGCGGUGAACCGUUGAACCUGAUCCGGGUAAUUCCGGCGAGAGGGAGGAAAUAAUGACUGCUA